CAUAUCGAGUGACUGUCAACUUGAUUGCUCAACGUAUCGGCGAUGUCAUACUGCACGAGUGAUUACUCUUGGUACCUCGGAAAGUUCAUUAUCGGAUUUACCGGGAUGCUGUUUCUUUAUGUGGGCUUCCUGAGAGAAAACAAGAAAAGUUGUGUAUGCGGGCCGAGAAUGAGAGAAUUACUGAGACAGAAAAGCGAAAAGUGAGUCAGACUGGUCAUGCACGCGCGUCUUCCUCCGGAGGAGGUUUCGCUUCGGGGUAGAACUCGUUGCUUUAUUUCUCACGGAGUUGGACGUGCGAAAAAGGAUUACGCUUUCUAUGACCAGUGACACUGUAAUUAUGGCAUUGUCAACGUUGAUAUUAAUAAUACUCACUAAUUUCUCUACACUAGACAACCAGAUAGAUGUGGAUGCGCGAAGGGGCAAAAUGAGCGUUAUCCAUGUGGAUGUAAGAAGCCGAUGCAACUGGUGCAAGAUGAAAACGUAAUACCGAAGAUUGCGGCUGAAUAUAUUAAACGCGGUUGUGAGAAAACUUGUUGCGGAAAAAUUCUUAUUGAAGGAGAAACACGAUAAUGAAAAUAUUUUAUAAUACAUUCCUUAGACUUAGGUUACUGAGGUAACCUAAAGUAAAUCAACCGCUGCCGAUACAUAUCAAAGAACAAGUAUAAAUAUAUUGCAGGACAUUGCAAAAACGAAACGCGUGAUCACUCGAAGAUAACGAAUGAUGAAAAUUCCAUUCCUGAGUUUCUUGUAUCAAUGAUACAGAAAUCAAGCACUCCUCUAUAAUGAAUCAUGAAAUUCAAUCGUAUUUCGCAUGAUAAAAUUUGGAACCGCCACAGUAAUAAGCACAUUAUUCUUUUGAUGUGCAUUUCGAUUCGUUAUCAUAGCAAAAUUAAUUCUUCGCGAUUAAGGUGCAUGUUUCAAUUAGCAAUACGCUAUGAAUCUGAUGAGUCACACGCGUCGACGAUUCGCGAAAUAAUCGCGUUAAAAAAAGAUUCUAGUUUAGAUAGCUAAAAAUAGAAGAUUUUUACGAAUUUUUUUCAAAGAAAUCAGUAAAAAUAUCGAUAUAGGGUUUUUACCAUACUUUUUAUUAUUGUCAUAAGUACAUUAAAAAAAUUGUUUUUAAAAAAUUUUAAAUUCCAUCCAGGUUUUUUGUGUUGAGCGCGAUGUCGUCGGAUACCUCUAUUUGAUGGACAAUAUCACAGUUCGUGUAACAAUAUAAAACAAAUUAAAUAAGAAAAUUUAAAAACUGUAUUACAUUUGCUAAAAAAUAAAUCUAAAUCCUCUGGAAAAUUUCCAAAAUUAGUAUUUUUACCGACACACUAAAUG